UACGUAGGGUGCAAGCGUUACUCGGAAUUACUGGGCGUAAAGCGUGCGCAGGCGGUUUUGUAAGUCUGGCGUGAAAGCCCCGGGCUCAACCUGGGAAUUGCGAUGGAGACUGCAAGGCUUGAAUCUGGCAGAGGGGGGUAGAAUUCCACGUGUAGCAGUGAAAUGCGUAGAGAUGUGGAGGAACACCGAUGGCGAAGGCAGCCCCCUGGGUCAAGAUUGACGCUCAUGCACGAAAGCGUGGGGAGCAAACAGG
rnacentral:rRNA from 1 species